UAAUUGUGUUAGCCAAGAUAACAUUAAGAAGUAAUUCACUUUGUUUUUUCGAAAGAAAUAAUUUUCAUCAGGACUCAGGAGUUAAUUACUAAUUUACUAUUAACAUUGAGUGGUUAAUAUGGGGUGGAUGGACAGAUUAAACUGGCAUUUCUGCAAGUGUUAGAUGAGUUUCUGAGAAUCUGAGUCUCGACUCACAUUUCUGUAGAAGAAUCGAACCUGGUACAUAAUAUUUGGAGAAGAGGUGAAAAAAUCAUGCUAAUUCUUCGAGGAGCACAGACGUAAAAGAAAAUUGCAGGCAAAUUCUCAAGUACUGUGAAAAGACACAUCCUACAGCCCUUUACAUCUCUAGAUCUUCUACCUAUGCCAUCCCUUAAUUCGAGCUUUUCAGCCAACUGGUGAGGAUCAGAAUUCAGUUCUAGUCUGACACUUGCGUUUGAAGUUAAACUGAAGUGUGCGUCAGAAGUUGAAACUGCAAUGUCCUCUUCUAAGUAGAUUGUUGGAUACUAAUUAAGGGAAAAAACCCUCCCCCUGAUGCAGCAUGAAGGAACUGCUGCGCUGCGACGAGGUUUUGGGGUACUUCACUAGUUUCUUAUCCUAUAAAUCUUUUUUCUUUUUCUUAUUUUUACAACAACCACUUACUCAAUUUUGAGUAUUAUCAUAGAAAAUUAUAGGAAAUAAUUCGGGAGGAGAAACUGUCCAGAUAUAUUGUUCCUUCCAAAUUUUUCACAGAUCACGCUUCCUUUAAAAAAAUUUACAGAUCAACCUCAUUCGAAAAAAAUCUUGUAGUAAAUCAUUAUCAUCUUCGGUCAAGAAAAAAAUCAUCGAAUCUCUGAUCAUAGUUAAUUUUGUUGUUAUCUUGAUAAUGUAUUUUACUCUAAACUCAUGAUUGUUGAUAUUAGUUUUGUCUUCGCCUUGUUUAAAAUCAUUCAAAUUCCACAAAGUUUGGGAUAUAAUCCAUAUCAAUCUAUCUGAAAUUGGACUAAUCUGGCUCCGAUACAAUGCUAAAUUGUAGGCAAAGUGAAUACGGAUUAUAUAAAACAAUGUUAGGGACAAGCUCUAAUGAUUCUUUCACUGUUAUGAUCAGUUCAAGUAAGGCAGUUUCUGGACAU